rnacentral:rRNA from 1 species
AACGAACGCUGGCGGCAGGCUUAACACAUGCAAGUCGAGCGCCCCGCAAGGGGAGCGGCAGACGGGUGAGUAACGCGUGGGAACGUACCCUUUGCUACGGAAUAGCUCCGGGAAACUGGAAUUAAUACCGUAUGUGCCCUACGGGGGAAAGAUUUAUCGGCAAAGGAUCGGCCCGCGUUGGAUUAGCUAGUUGGUGGGGUAAUGGCCUACCAAGGCGACGAUCCAUAGCUGGUCUGAGAGGAUGAUCAGCCACAUUGGGACUGAGACACGGCCCAAACUCCUACGGGAGGCAGCAGUGGGGAAUAUUGGACAAUGGGCGCAAGCCUGAUCCAGCCAUGCCGCGUGAGUGAUGAAGGCCUUAGGGUUGUAAAGCUCUUUCACCGGAGAAGAUAAUGACGGUAUCCGGAGAAGAAGCCCCGGCUAACUUCGUGCCAGCAGCCGCGGUAAAAC